rnacentral:rRNA from 1 species
AGUGAACGCUGGCGGUAGGCCUAACACAUGCAAGUCGAACGGCAGCACAGUAAGAGCUUGCUCUUACGGGUGGCGAGUGGCGGACGGGUGAGGAAUACAUCGGAAUCUACUUUUUCGUGGGGGAUAAUGUAGGGAAACUUACGCUAAUACCGCAUACGACCUACGGGUGAAAGCAGGGGAUCUUCGGACCUUGCGCGAUUGAAUGAGCCGAUGUCGGAUUAGUUAGUUGGCGGGGUAAAGGCCCACCAAGGCGACGAUCCGUAGCUGGUCUGAGAGGAUGAUCAGCCACACUGGAACUGAGACACGGUCCAGACUCCUACGGGAGGCAGCAGUGGGGAAUAUUGGACAAUGGGCGCAAGCCUGAUCCAGCCAUACCGCGUGGGUGAAGAAGGCCUUCGGGUUGUAAAGCCCUUUUGUUGGGAAAGAAAAGCAGCAGGUUAAUACCCCGCUGUUCUGACGGUACCCAAAGAAUAAGCACCGGCUAACUUCGUG